rnacentral:miRNA from 1 species
GCAGACACAUUCCAGCCAAUCAGCAGCAGACCCUCCCUCCCAGACCCUUCCACCUCCUGGACAGCUCACUAAGAAUGCAGCUUCACAAUGAAUGUAAAAUGGAUGCUGUCCAGGAGGUGGGAGGGUAUGGGAGGGAGGGUCUGCUGCUGAUUGGCUGGAAUGUGUCUG